AUUGAACGCUGGCGGCAUGCCUUACACAUGCAAGUCGAACGGCAGCACGGACUUCGGUCUGGUGGCGAGUGGCGAACGGGUGAGUAAUAUAUCGGAACAUACCUUGUAGUGGGGGAUAACUAUCCGAACGGAUAGCUAAUACCGCAUACGCUCUAAGGAGGAAAGUGGGGGAUCGCAAGACCUCAUGCUAUAAGAGUGGCCGAUAUCUGAUUAGCUAGUUGGUGAGGUAAAGGCUCACCAAGGCGACGAUCAGUAGCUGGUCUGAGAGGACGACCAGCCACACUGGAACUGAGACACGGUCCAGACUCCUACGGGAGGCAGCAGUGGGGAAUUUUGGACAAUGGGGGCAACCCUGAUCCAGCAAUGCCGCGUGAGUGAAGAAGGCCUUCGGGUUGUAAAGCUCUUUUGUCAGGGAAGAAACGGUUGUGGCUAAUAUCCAUGGCUAAUGACGGUACCUGAAGAAUAAGCACCGGCUAACUACGUGCCAGCCGCCGCAGUAA
rnacentral:rRNA from 1 species